CCUACGGGGGGCUGCAGUGGGGAAUAUUGCACAAUGGGGGAAACCCUGAUGCAGCAACGCCGCGUGAGUGAUGAAGGCCUUAGGGUUGUAAAGCUCUUUUGUCCGGGACGAUAAUGACGGUACCGGAAGAAUAAGCCCCGGCUAACUUCGUGCCAGCAGCCGCGGUAAUACGAAGGGGGCUAGCGUUAUCCGGAAUUACUGGGCGUAAAGGGUGCGUAGGCGGCCCUUCAAGUCAGAGGUGAAAGGCUACGGCUCAACCGUGGUAAGCCUUUGAAACUGUAGGGCUUGAGUGCAGGAGAGGAGAGUGGAAUUCCCAGUGUAGCGGUGAAAUGCGUAGAUAUUGGGAGGAACACCAGUUGCGAAGGCGGCUCUCUGGACUGUAACUGACGCUGAGGCACGAAAGCGUGGGGAGCGAACAGGAUUAGAUACCCCUGUAGUC
rnacentral:rRNA from 1 species